rnacentral:rRNA from 1 species
GUCCGCCCGUCGGAUUCAGUCCGCCUGUGCGGCGUCGGCGCCGGCCGCGCAUCCCUCGUGGGAGCGCGCCGGCGUCCGGUCGUCGUGCGGCGGCCGUACUUUCGGCGGGCGGAGCGCCACGACCGGUUCGUCGGCGGCGAGAAACUCCCGGGCAAGGUGACCUUCGUCUCGGCGCAGGAGCAUACAGGCCCGGUGAGCGUCGGCCCGUCGGCGGACCGAGGAAGACCGUCGCGGAGCGGCGUCGACCGCCCGUCGUGUGGUCGCGUUCGACUCGGGGGGACUGGUUCCAGUGCCCUCGGACCGCGCGGCCGCAGCGGCGGGACGGCCCGGCGUCGCGCCUGGGGUCGGUGGCGAAACGGCCGGCAACCUGUCCGACCCGUCUUGAAACACGGACCAAGGAGUCUAACAUGUGCGCGAGUCGUUGGGCGCUACGAAACCCGAAGGCGCAAUGAAAGUGAAGGCCCGGUCUCCGGCCGGCCUGGGUGGGAUCCGGGCGGUCUCGGCCGCUCGGCGCACCACCGGCCCGUCUCGUUCGUCGCGUCGAAGAGGCGGAGCAAGAGCGUACACGUUGGGACCCGAAAGAUGGUGAACUAUGCCCGAGUAGGACGAAGCCAGAGGAAACUCUGGUGGAGGUCCGCAGCGAUUCUGACGUGCAAAUCGAUCGUCAAACUUGGGUAUAGGGGCGAAAGACUAAUCGAACCAUCUAGUAGCUGGUUCCUGUCGAAGUUUCCCUCAGGA